rnacentral:lncRNA from 1 species
CUCCUUAAAGGGGACGGGGUUUCGGCCAUUCUCUCUUGCUCUGCGCGCCCGGCGCUCUGGCUCCUAAAGAUGUAAACAAUAGAGCGCGCUCUGCGCUUUGGCGCGCCGGAGCUCUGGCUCCUAAAGAUGUAAGAUUGGGGUGGCUUUCGCUUUUGGGGCUGGGGGUUUGCGCUCCUGGCUCCUGAAGAUGUAAGCAAUAAAGUUUUGCCGCAGAAGAUUCUG